rnacentral:rRNA from 1 species
AGACGUCUACAUUAGAUACCCGCGUAGUCCCAGCCGUAAACUAUGCGCGUUAGGUGUAUCGGUGACCACGAGUUACCGAGGUGCCGAAGGGAAACCGUGAAACGUGCCGCCUGGGAAGUACGGUCGCAAGGCUGAAACUUAAAGGAAUUGGCGGGGAGCACCACAACAGGUGGAGCCUGCGGUUUAAUUGGACUCAACGCCGGGAAGCUCACCGGAUAGGACAGCAGAAUGAUUGCCGGGCUGAAGACCCUGCAUGACUAGCCG